AUACGUAGGUGACAAGCGUUAUCCGGAUUUACUGGGCGUAAAGGGCGUGUAGGCGGUCUUGCAAGUCAGAAGUGAAAUUCCUGAGCUCAACUCGGGCGCUGCUUCUGAAACUGCAGGACUUGAGUGCUGGAGGGGAUAGCGGAAUUCCUAGUGGAGCGGUAAAAUGCGCAGAUAUUAGGAAGAACACCGAUUGCGUAGGCAGCUGACCAGACCGCAAAUGACGCUCAUGCACGAAAGUGCGGGGAUCGAACAGGAUUAGAUACCCUGGUAGUCCGCACAGUAAACGAUGAAUACUUGUUUUCGGCGAUAUAAUGUCGGAGGCAAAGCGAAAGCGAUAAGUAUUCCACCUGGGGAGUACGCCGGCAACGGUGAAACUCAAAUGAAUUGACGGGG
rnacentral:rRNA from 1 species